rnacentral:lncRNA from 1 species
UGAAAUUAACACUAGCAAAGCGUCACAUAACAGCAACUAGAAUGCAAUAACAAAUCAAAUGCAUAAGAAACGAAACAAUAAAAGUAGAGUUUAGGAUGGGAUCUUAAAAUAAACCCGAGAUUUAUAAGUACUCGAACAAAAUUGUGGAAUGAAGCUAGACCAGAAAAUCGAACGGACACCUCAAAAUCGACCUCCGGUGACCCGCCUCAAAACAAGCCUCGAAUAGAGACUCGAAUCGGCACAAACACGAAUCAGACUCGACGGAACUCUCAAAACACUCUCUCUUUUUUAAAAUUUUGUCCGAUGGCAGCUGGAGCUUUUGCUUUCUUGUUUCCAACAAGUUUGCCAGCGAUGGGAGCGGAUAGAAACGAGAGAGAGGUUGGGGUCUGCUUCGAGAAGGAUGGUCGUUGUGGUCCUCUAGUGGUUGCGCUGCUGCUAUUGUUUGUUUGUUUGUGCCAGAUUUUCGGUGAGCUCGCCGGACCGCUAGAGAAGAUGACUGAACAGUAGGGUCACUGGUGGUUGGGUGUUAAAGACGGUUGGCGGCGUGGCUCGCGGCGAUGACGGCUGAAGGUGUCUAAGGGUUCUACGGUUUUGCUUGUAUUAUGUGUUUGUGGUUUUACAUGGUGAAGAAGAAGGUGGCUGGCAGCUGGAGGCUGCAGCUAUGGCAAUGGGAGGGCUGUUUUUGCUCGCUUAAGGAGAAGGGUCUUAGGGAUUUUGUUUUCAUUCAAGGUCGAAGAAGGAGGAAUCCAUGGAUAUGGUCUUCAAGUUCGAAGGUUCUAAGGUUAAGGUUCUAAGGAAGAAGAAGAGAGAGUAUUACUAAAUUUUUUUGUAGGGUGUGUAUGUUAUUGGGCU